rnacentral:rRNA from 1 species
GAUGAACGCUGGCGGCGUGCCUAAUACAUGCAAGUCGAGCGAACGGACGAGAAGCUUGCUUUUCUGAUGUUAGCGGCGGACGGGUGAGUAACACGUGGAUAACCUACCUAUAAGACUGGGAUAACUUCGGGAAACCGGAGCUAAUACCGGAUAAUAUUUUGAACCGCAUGGUUCAAAAGUGAAAGACGGUCUUGCUGUCACUUAUAGAUGGAUCCGCGCUGCAUUAGCUAGUUGGUAAGGUAACGGCUUACCAAGGCAACGAUGCAUAGCCGACCUGAGAGGGUGAUCGGCCACACUGGAACUGAGACACGGUCCAGACUCCUACGGGAGGCAGCAGUAGGGAAUCUUCCCCAAUGGGCGAAAGCCUGACGGAGCAACGCCGCGUGAGUGAUGAAGGUCUUCGGAUCGUAAAACUCUGUUAUUAGGGAAGAACAUAUGUGUAAGUAACUGUGCACAUCUUGACGGUACCUAAUCAGAAAGCCACGGCUAACUACGUG